CUUCUUCAUUAAAUUAAAAGUGGAUUUGCAAUAUUUUUCACCUCUCUGGUUGCUAAAUUUGUUAAAUCUGCUGAAAGUUGGAAGACUUUAAGCAAAAUAAAAAGAAGACAAGGAGGUGCAGGUUGAGGGGUGAUGACAAACCUCAGCAUCAGCAGUAUGGCAGGACCACAGCGACGUACCAAUGAGCAAAAACGCGUCUCUUUGCUUAAAAACUAACAAAAUGGCAAUUAUACAACUUCAAAAGACUAGGACUUCAGUGCUUGGAGAAUAAUUUGUCUGAACGUUUAACCCUUUAACAGAGAGGGAACAGUGACAUCAUCAUCUGCUCCUGCAUGGAAAUCCACCUGCUGUGUUACAGUGAAGACAUCCAAGAAAUAAGGACAAACAUCUUGUGACGGUCAACGCUGAAGCUAAAAGCAAAAACAACUCAAACAUCUCUAAAGAGAGAAGGGCUCCUUCAUGGUGCUGAAGUACUUCCCAAAGACUUUCACUGAUCUGAAGUGAAGCUUGAAAAUGAAGAACUGCAUCUCAUCAACAUCAACAUCAUCUGCCACCUCAAGACAACAGGAUUACUGAACACACAAACUCAGGAGUUUUGAUGGCUAAAAACCACAUAAAUGCUGCUCAGGUUCCUUUAAACUGUUUCACUAACUGCUAACUCAUCCACUGAGACACUGAACAAACUACUUGUAUCCUUCCGGGUUUCUGCAGAUAAUGUAUGAUUGUGGAUGUCACAUGCUGCCUUAUCAAAAAUGAAACUGCAUGAUUCAAGCUACAUUAUCCAUGCUUUCUCUGUCACUCCCACAUCUUUAAUUUGUUAACAUUCUCUUCCUUUUCAGUGGAACAAUAAACAAAUAGUUUGGAUGCAGUUGAGGAGCUGGUGAGCUUUAACACAGCCAGCACAAAGCCUCACUUAUAAUACACAAGUUGUUGCAUUGACAGGAGUUAUUAGGGCAAUACAUAUGUCAAUACACUCCCUCAGUUAAAUCUACACCACCUGGAAUCUUGACAUGUUGUUAACCUUCUGUAAAUACUAUAAAGCUUCACUUGGAUAACCUGAUAUGAGUCAGUUCUUUAUUUCAUCACAUUAUUUUUGUCCACUAGCUCCUUAAUAACAAUUAAACAUGCAUGCAAAACACAGCAGCUAUUUACUUAGUCACCAUUUACCCCUGUUUCCAUGGCACAGCAGGGAACACAAACUCCAGCAAGCUACUCUUAUCUUUUUUAAUAAUAAUAAUAAAGUAAAAGAAAAUUACCAAAGAAAAAAAAACUGACAUGGCUUAAGAAAAAAGAUGGAUGAAAUGUUCAUUUGUUUCCACUUCCAGUUCUGUGCUUUUUGAAUAUAUAACACAAAUUGUUUUUCAGAAUAACCUGAUAAUGAAGAUUAAUAUGAAGAGAAUACCUGAUUAGGUUUGGAAAUCAGGCUCAGUCAGGGAGGGAAAAAUAAAGAUACAUUUGAUUAGUAUUGUGAAGGUACCUGCACUGGCUUUUCUAACUUCAUAUGGUUCAAGGUCACAUAUAAAUAGUUCUCCAAAUAAUACAGAGUGACUCCAGUAGAUCAAAUUUUCACUACAAUGAAGAAAAGUGGAUCUCUAUAACAGCGACACACUUCACCAGGCCCUCAAAUAUUCCUCUGAGCAUGUGCAACUUGUUAAAAAAAAUAGCCUUAAUCAUUCUCUAAUUGCACUUUUGAUGUGCAUGCAAACAAGCUUUAAUUAUGUCACAGAUGGGAAAAAAAACCAGCAGCAAUAAUGUUUGCUACUAAACAUGGUGCUCGUUGACAAUCAGAAGCAGACCAGAUUUCCUUCGGGGAUAUCCAAGGGGCUGCUUUUACCUGGAGCAGGUAAUUCACCUGCAGUAAGACAGCACACGGGACCAAUUAACUGAUGAUGGAGUAACAGACAGGGUGGGAGCAGUGUCCUUGCGGCCUUUUUCUUGGCUCUCGUGUAAAUGAAACCAUCCGAAUGUCCCCAACAAAGAAUCUCUCAAAGAGUUUUAAUCUCUAUCAGCUGUCAGGUGAGCCCUCAGUAUGUGACAAAGUCCCUCUCCCUCACUGCCACAAAAUCAAUAAAUGAAUAGAUCAGAAAAUAGCACAAAGUGCAUUCACUGACAGGAUAUUAUUAUUUGUUCAAUGGGAAAGAUUUCUGUCAAUUCUUUUGAUGUGAUUUCUCAAAGAAUUCCUCUGCUGGAUUUAAA